CCUACGGGGCGCAGCAGUGGGGAAUAUUGGACAAUGGGCGAAAGCCUGAUCCAGCCAUGCCGCGUGUGUGAAGAAGGCCUUCGGGUUGUAAAGCACUUUCAGUGGGGAAGAAAGCCUUGGGGCUAAUACCCUCGAGGAAGGACAUCACCCACAGAAGAAGCACCGGCUAACUCCGUGCCAGCAGCCGCGGUAAUACGGAGGGUGCGAGCGUUAAUCGGAAUUACUGGGCGUAAAGCGCGCGUAGGCGGUCUGAUAAGCCGGUUGUGAAAGCCCCGGGCUCAACCUGGGAACGGCAUCCGGAACUGUCAGGCUAGAGUGCAGGAGAGGAAGGUAGAAUCCCCGGUGUAGCGGUGAAAUGCGUAGAGAUCGGGAGGAAUACCAGUGGCGAAGGCGGCCUUCUGGACUGACACUGACGCUGAGGUGCGAAAGCGUGGGUAGCAAACAGGAUUAGAUACCCCGGUAGUC
rnacentral:rRNA from 1 species